rnacentral:rRNA from 1 species
CCUACGGGAGGCUGCAGUGAGGAAUAUUGGUCAAUGGGCGCAAGCCUGAACCAGCCAAGUCGCGUGAGGGAUGACGGUCCUAUGGAUUGUAAACCUCUUUUGUCGGGGAGCAAGGCCCGCCACGUGUGGCGGGAAGGAGAGUACCCGAGGAAAAAGCAUCGGCUAACUCCGUGCCAGCAGCCGCGGUAAUACGGAGGAUGCGAGCGUUAUCCGGAUUUAUUGGGUUUAAAGGGUGCGUGGGCGGAAGGUUAAGUCAGCGGUAAAAUGUCGGGGCUCAACACCGGCCUGCCGUUGAAACUGGUCUUCUUGAGUGAGCGAGAGGUAUGCGGAAUGCGUGGUGUAGCGGUGAAAUGCAUAGAUAUCACGCAGAACUCCGAUUGCGAAGGCAGCAUACCGGCGCUCAACUGACGCUGAGGCACGAAAGCGUGGGGAUCGAACAGGAUUAGAUACCCCUGUAGUC